GUGGGGAAUUUUGGACAAUGGGGGAAACCCUGAUCCAGCCAUGCCGCGUGUCUGAAGAAGGCCUUCGGGUUGUAAAGGACUUUUGUCCGGGAGCAAAUACCAGUGCUAAUAACGCUGGGGGCUGAGAGUACCGGAAGAAUAAGCACCGGCUAACUACGUGCCAGCAGCCGCGGUAAUACGUAGGGUGCAAGCGUUAAUCGGAAUUACUGGGCGUAAAGCGUGCGCAGGCGGUUAGACAAGCCAGAUGUGAAAGCCCCGAGCUCAACUUGGGAACUGCGUUUGGAACUGUUUGACUAGAGUGCGUCAGAGGGGGGUGGAAUUCCGCGUGUAGCAGUGAAAUGCGUAGAGAUGCGGAGGAACACCGAUGGCGAAGGCAGCCCCCUGGGAUGACACUGACGCUCAUGCACGAAAGCGUGGGGAGCAAACAGG
rnacentral:rRNA from 1 species